GCGUUGGUGGUGAAACGAUUCAGCACACAUCUCCGAGAAAGAUCGAGAUCUGGGUUCGAACCCCGGCUGGCGCA